UACGGGGGGAGCAAGCGUUGUCCGGAUUGACUGGGCGUAAAGCGCACGCAGGCGGUGGUGCGCGUGGGGUGUGAAAUCUGGCCGCUUAACGGCCAGGCGCCAUCCCAUACGGCACGACUGGAGGGCUGCAGAGGUCGAUGGAAUUGCCGGUGUAGUGGUGAAAUGCGUAGAGAUCGGCAGGAACACCCAGGGGGAAACCAGUCGACUGGGCAGCACCUGACGCUGAGGUGCGAGAGCGUGGGGAGCGAACCGG
rnacentral:rRNA from 1 species